AUUGGGUUUAAAGGGUGCGUAGGCGGCCUGUUAAGUCAGCGGUGAAAUCUAGGAGCUUAACUCCUAAAUUGCCAUUGAUACUGGCGGGCUUGAGUGUAGAUGAGGUAGGCGGAAUGCGUGGUGUAGCGGUGGAAUGCAUAGAUAUCACGCAGAACUCCGAUUGCGAAGGCAGCUUACUAAGGUACAACUGAUGCUGAAGCACGAAAGCGUGGGUAUCAAACAGGAUUAGAUACCCUGGUAGUCCACGCAGUAAACGAUGAUAACUGGGCGUAUGCGAUAUACAGUAUGCUCCUAAGCGAAAGCGUUAAGUUAUCCACCUGGGGAGUACGCCGGCAACGGUGAAACUCAAAGGAAUUGACGGGGGCCCGCACAAGCGGAGGAACAUGUGGUUUAAUUCGAUGAUACGCGAGGAACCUUACCCGGGCUUGAACUAAGAGUGACAGAUUUAGAGAUAGAUCUUUCUUCGGACACUCUUGGAGGUGCUGCAUGGUUGUCGUCAGCUCGUGUCGUGAGAAG
rnacentral:rRNA from 1 species